AUUGAACGCUGGCGGCAGGCCUAACACAUGCAAGUCGAACGAGUCGCGGACGGGUGAGUACUGCUUGGGCAUCUAGCUUAUGGAGGGGGAUAACUAUGGGAAACUGAAGCCAAUACCGCGUACCAUAGGCUGAGCCCAAGUGGGUUUAGGUAGUUGGUGGGGUAAAGGCUAACCAAGCCGACGAUCUCUAGCUGGUCUGAGAGGAGGACCAGCCACACUGGGACUGAGACACGGCCCAGACUCCUACGGGAGGCAGCAGUGGGGAAUAUGGGGCAAUGGGGGAAACCUGACGCAGCCAUGCCGCGUGAGUGAAGAAGGCCUUCGGGUUGUAAGGUUCUUUCGGCAGGGAGGCGUUACCGACAGAAGACGCACCGGCUAACUCCGGGCCAGCAGCCGCGGUAAUUC
rnacentral:rRNA from 1 species